UAAGCGGAGGAAAAGAAACUAACAAGGAUUCCCCUAGUAGCGGCGAGCGAAGCGGGAAGAGCUCAAAUUUAUAAUCUGGCACCUUCGGUGUCCGAGUUGUAAUCUCUAGAAGUGUUUUCCGCGUUGGACCGCACACAAGUCUGUUGGAAUACAGCGGCAUAGUGGUGAAACCCCCGUAUAUGGUGCGGACGCCCAGCGCUUUGUGAUACACUUUCAAUGAGUCGAGUUGUUUGGGAAUGCAGCUCAAAUUGGGUGGUAAAUUCCAUCUAAAGCUAAAUAUUGGCGAGAGACCGAUAGCGAACAAGUACCGUGAGGGAAAGAUGAAAAGCACUUUGGAAAGAGAGUUAACAGUACGUGAAAUUGUUGGAAGGGAAACGCUUGAAGUCAGACUUGCUUGCCGGAGCUUGCUUCGGUUUGCAGGCCAGCAUCAGUUUUCCGGGGUGGAUAAUAACGGUUUGAAGGUAGCAGUCUCGGCUGUGUUAUAGCUUUCCGUUGGAUACAUCCUGGGGGACUGAGGAACGCAGCGUGCUUUUUGCGAAAGACUCGUCUUUUUCACGCUUAGGAUGCUG
rnacentral:rRNA from 1 species